UGCAGCGGCGUUCCAUCCCGUCGAGCUCGCGGAACCAGCCGGCGCCAUCGCCACCUUGCUGUCCGGUUGCUCAGCUUUCCUCUCCUCUUCAGUGCUGCUUGGAGAUUAGGAUCACAGAUGUUUGAGCAAGCAGUAAAUCGACAGAAGGUAACCACCUGUUGUAGAGCUUUUCCUUUCAUUAGAUCCUCAUGCUUGCUAUAGUAGGGUGGCUGGGUGGGGAACCAAACCCUUGUCAGAAGUAAAAUUAGAAUUAUAUUUAUCUGCAUGAAUUGAUGCACUUGCACUAUUAACAUGCUCAAAUAUCAUGUGGAUGCAUGGGUGGGUCAAUGUCAAGAUCCUCAUAUUAUAUAUGGUUGUUCGAUAAUUUAUAGUUGUGAGUCAUACAUGACCAUAAUGGCAUCAUCAAUUCCUGGAUUUGCAGGUGCUCACUUUCUGGACUUAAUUUGUUUUUGUCAUAGAUCACGAACACACUGAGAGAUAUAAAUACGAGGGUUCGUAUGUAAGUUGUAUCUUACCAACUAUUUACCAGUUUGUCAAGUGGGUGCUAAUCUCUGGUUAAAAGAAAAUAAUAUGAUUUCACUUUGUCAGUUUUCACGCACUAUGUCUUACUGUGUGCCAUGAUUUUCCACUCCUUUUUACCUGAACUGCUCCUUUGGUGUGGUCAUUUUAUACUUAUUUUAGGCACUAAACGUCGGUGUACCUGUUACUAAACAUUUAUUCUGCUCCUUUGGUGUGGUCAUUUUAUACUUAUUUUAGGCACUACACGUCGGUGUACCUGUUGCUAAACAUUUAUUCAAUUUUACUGUUCUUUGGUUCCUUUGCCAAAGCGCGUUGAACUUGAACACUGUCUAAUUAAUCGAUUUACCAGCCGACUGUUGCAUAUAUAUAUUCCCUUUGCUUUAUUGAUGUUGCACCCUGAUUUUUACAGUCCAAAAAGGUAUAUUGAAUUGAAUGAUUGUUGUUUUAGGGAGUGGGUGUCUAUAUUCCUAGCCCAGUCCUUUCACAUGGGCAACUCUAUGUUGCGUUCUCACGUGUGACUUCACCUGAUGGUCUACGGGUUUUGAUUGAGAAUAACCCGCCUGAGUAUAUAGACAGCACCCAUAAUGUUGUUUAUAGAGAAAUUUUUGAUGAUUUAGGCCAGCAGGCAGCACAUGAAUGAUCCACCACAACUCCAACAGUAUAAUCAUCUUUGUUGGUUACAAUCCUUUCCCUAAAGUAUGGCCUUCCACUUUAUAGUUUAUUACUGGUGCUAAAUUUAAGUUCAUUGUAUUCUUUUUACCCCUCAUGUGCUUACUACAAUAUUGACUUUACUUCAGUACUUUGCAUGCAUGUUAAUGUCGUGUUUCCUCGCAUCUUUACAUUAUUCUAGAUGAUGCAGAAACAUAUAGCUUUUAAGUGGACGCAUUUUAGUGAAAUAAUCUAUAUAGCCUUCCCCUCUUGUGAUAUUUUACCUUUUUAUUCACCAGGUGGCCAAAAUUGGUUACGAUGCAUUCUCUUACAUAUCACCUUCAUUCUACAUUUUUAUUAGUAAUGCUAAAUUGAACCCCAUUCUGUUUCUUUGUCUCUCAUGUACUUACUAAAAUAAAUUUACUUUUCUUCACGACUUUGCAGGGCUGUUAAUCUGGUGCUUCCUUAUAUCUUUUUGCAGUGUUCUAGAUCUUGUAGGAGCAUGCAGCUUGUAAGUGCAAACAUUUUGCAUUAUAUCAUACUGUUAAGGUAAAGAUAUAACUAUUUAUCCCUCAUUUCUUCUGCUAUGCUGAUACAUACUCCAUGUAGAUCUUAUUUCUCUAAUUUAUUUUACUCGUCUGCCUGAUCAGCGCUGAACACUAGAUUCAAUAUGUUCUAUAUUAAUACAUGCUCGUGAAAAGAGACACUUAUUGCACAUGAUCACCAAAAUGCACAUAUGGAUGUUUCUUUGAAUAGUUUUUCAUAUGUUUCUUCGUUGCGGUUCCUGUCUGCUCACUAUGGACCAUAUGGAUACUAUAGUUCAUUUUCCAUCUACAUGUUCUCUUCUAAUCUUCCUGAAAAUACUAUGGUGAUCAACUCUGCUUUAGUAGUUCAGACAUUGUACUGGUCAAACUCUUCCUCUCUAACAAUAGGAACACGAAGUGUCUGUAUAGCAUAAACCAUAAAAUUUCUUUUGAAAUAUAUUGUACUGUUCUGACAAAUUCUAUCCAUGAUCAGUUUUGACCUUUUCACGCAAAUAUACAUGCAUCCUUGCAAUAUGAAUAGCCAUUUUAUCUAGAUCUACACGUUAGUUAUAGUUUUUUCAAUUAAUGUUUAUUGUAGUGAUCAGCAUCUCAAGGCACACGCAUUUUUCAUCUAGACACUCUAUACGUUGAAGAUUACUUGCUCAAUCUGCUGGUAUAAUUUAUAUUCUUCUUAUUGUCAGCCCUGUUAUUUUCCUCAUGUAUGACAUUUCUUCCCAUUUAUUCUGCACAAUCAUCAUUACUGGCUCAACCUAUUGCCAUCUGUUCAAACCACGUUUACAGACUAAUUCUUAUCUUGUCCCAGUUCAUUUAUUCACCGGAAAUUGUUGCUUCAAUUCUAAAUCAGGAUUCCCCCACCCAGAUCAUAUAGCAGCUCCUCAAUCACGUUCAAUUAUUUUUUAUCCAUGUUAUGUGAUCUUAACACUCAACUUUCCUCUAAUACCUUCUGGUAGCCACGGUUGCUUCAUAGCUUUUAUUUAUGUUCGGUUUUAUAUUUGUGUACCAACUGGUAAACAAGUUCAAUGUAAAAAUAAUUUUACUGCAUUUUACAAGUUACCUAUAGAAAUGUGGUAUUUGGAGAUUCUUGCAUUCGUGAAGUAGUACAAAAAGUUCUGCAUCUAAUUUAGAUUCUCUCAAGACUAAUGCUUUUAAUACUAUCUCAUAUUUGAUCAUGCACAUCUCCUAUUAAUUUAAUCUUGCUACAGGUUCAUGGCAUGCUAUUCAUUAGGUUUUCCAUCCACAUGCUUCAUAACACACUUACGUACCUUACAGUCUCACUUGCCAUCUCAUCAACUGUCACAUAAUAUUAUUUUCUCUUAUUCAAUAUGAUCAACCACUUCAACAACUGUUCAUACAUGGAUGUUUCCCAUAUAUACAUAUUUUCCUUAAAAGUUAUCUGCUAUCCAUCAUGCUUAAGCCUGUUGGUAAUCGUACUAAUGCAAGUUGCUAUAAUGAAUAAGCAGGAGAAGGCAAAAAGCUAUCUAAAGUGAUCAUCAUGUAUUUCAUGUUUCCAUCAGCCAGGUGCCCAGGUGUUUUGCCAGAGGACAUAUCAGGACACAUGUGUGCUCUGUUAUAUAACUUUUGACUUAAAGGAGUUGUGCUACAAGAUAAAUCGUUUGUCUCAUCUGUAUGCCUUCGAUGCCUAUUAUGUGAGUCUUAACUAUUUGAAUUACCAACUGACCACCCUCGUCGAUUCUCUUGUCUAAUAAAAUAGUGUAUUUUACAUAUAUUAUAUGGCUUAGUGAACUUUCAGUAUAAUUUUUGUUGUCAUCAGAAAUAUUGAAACAUAUAUAUUCAUAUUCAUACUAAUGAGACUACAUUUUGUUAUCAUAUCAGCUUGGAGAUUGCAUUUAUAUUUUGAAAUCUACAUAAGUACCUUUUAUUUUAAUGUUUCACUAACACUGCAUAAUAAUCAGUGUUCGUUUAUUAUGCCCCGCGGCAAUGCGCGGGGUCCACCCUAGUUUAUGAUGUUAUUGUGGCUAUGAUCAUAAACGGAGUGCCCCAAAUAAGACCCGAAAUAAUUUACUCAUGGGACUUCUCUGAAUUAAAUGGAAAUAACAGGUGUGCGAUGUACGAUAGGACAGUACGAGAAGACGCAUAACGCGAAUACGUGAAUGUUUUGUUCCAGACCGCAACACAAGGGAAGAGCUUUUCAUCAAAAAAACAUAAUGGAAGAGCGUAUCCAGGAUGGCGAACAUACAUUGACAC
rnacentral:lncRNA from 1 species